rnacentral:tRNA from 2 species
AUGAGUAUAAUUUAAAAGAUAAAAUACAAUUUUACCAAAAUUGUUAUAAGAGUUUGAGUCUCUUUAUUCAUA